GGUGGUGCUCCCUCUCUCUCUGGUUGGUCUCUUGGUAUUCCCAUCGCUGGCUGACAGAAGUUCCUGUCCUGACCUGUUCCCGUGAGUUCCUGCCAUUGAUUCUCCCUGCCUGAUUGAAGACAAAAUGGAAAACCUCUUACUGCGGUAACUCAAACACAAGCUAGGGGGCAACAAUAACCACAGAACAGAUGGUCAGGAUGAGACAUGUCAACACAGGGAUAUGAAGACACACUUCCACCCUUUUGUAGCAGUCCCUAAAUGAGAAAUUACACACUCUGUGAUUUGAGUGAUGAGUAACUGAAGCAGAUGGCAGAAGAAUCUGCUUUCGCCUUCACCCUCGGUUGCUCCAGCUCCACCUCAUCCCUCCAAAACUCUACUUCCAUCUCAGGAGGGUUGUUGCUGCGGCUCCGCCAUGGCCACCUAGAUCAUCUACAUCAUUCCAUUCCAUCAGCCCUUUUUCUGUGCCAUGGGCUCCUCCAUUGUCGUCACACUGCCUCAACCAUGGCUCCUCCCCCCAGUGAUGCCACUGUGAGGCACAGUCCUGGCUGUGGCCUGGAUCACCACCUGGACGUUCCUGCACAAGGCCAUCUCCUGGAUCACUCCUCCACCUACUCCACCUUGGAUUUUUCUGUUGAGCCCUCUCCUGGAUUCCUCUCUUCCACCAAAUCCUCUAUCCAUCUGCUGGCGUGAGGUCGCACCUUCCAGGAGGGGGCGUAUUGUCAUACUCACACACUUUUUGGACUGUUUUCAUUUUUUCAUCUCCAUUAGUUAGUUGUCAUGGUUGUUAAUUGAUUUGUCAUUUAGUUCAUUAUGGAAGUUUAUCCUUUGUUGCUGCUACCUGAGAAUUAUUAAAGGACUUUUGAUCUUUCA
ensembl:lncRNA